CAGUAGCGUAUAUUAAAGCUGUUGCGGUUAAAAAGCUCGUAGUUGGAUAUCAGUGCGUGUCCGGUCCGGUAUGCCCAGCGGCGGCGCUCGCGCGUCACUGCCGGGCUCCCAAAUAUCGGCUGGCCGCAUUCAAUCGUGCCGGAUCCGUCGACGGGCCGUUCUACGGAGGGGCCUGUUGGCGACCGGCGACGUUACCUUGAACAAAUUAGAGUGCUCAAAGCAGGCUCUGAAUGCCUGUAUACAUAUUCAUGGAAUUGAAGAAUACGUCCCUGGCUCGAUUUGGUUGGUUUUGAGAGUCGAAGGGAAAUGAUUAAUAGGGACUGACGGAGGCAUUCGUAUUGCGACGCGAGGGGUGAAAUCCUGUGACCGUCGCACGACGAACUACUGCGAAAGCAUUUGCCGAGAAUGUUUUCAUUAG
rnacentral:rRNA from 1 species